UACGUAGGGUGCGAGCGUUGUCCGGAAUUAUUGGGCGUAAAGAGCUCGUAGGCGGUGUGUCGCGUCGACCGUGAAAACCUGGGGCUUAACUCUGGGCGUGCGGUCGAUACGGGCAUCACUAGAGUUCGGCAGGGGAGACUGGAAUUCCUGGUGUAGCGGUGAAAUGCGCAGAUAUCAGGAGGAACACCGGUGGCGAAGGCGGGUCUCUGGGCCGAUACUGACGCUGAGGAGCGAAAGCAUGGGUAGCGAACAGG
rnacentral:rRNA from 1 species